UUACUAGGCUGUUACCUCAAUGAGGACAGACUGUGUCAUCCUGUGUCCCUACUGCCCAGCACUGUGCCUGGAACAUAAGUUUCUUUCAGCUCUGGCAUCUCAAGAUACCAUGGCCCAGUCUGCAGAACUAUGGCCUCUGCUAACAGAAAACAGCAGACCGCAGAGGCUGCCUACCCCGGUGUUGACUUUCUUGAGGAAUCAUCUGGAGACUGCCAGGAAUUCCCCAAGUAAUGAAUUCAGGAAUGUUUUCUAGAUCAUGGAAGACACACUACCCGAUCAGAUCUGAACUACUGCUGGGUAUAUCAAUACUUCUUUUAAUCUGUCCAAAAUUCCCUUCCAGGUAGCAGAAAGUUUUUUGAAUCUUUUUCUUUGAUUCUUUUUUUGAGAGACAAGAUCUCACUCUGUCUCCCAGGCUCGAGUGCAGUGGCAUGACUGUAGCUCAUGGUAACCUCAAACUCCUGGGCUCAAGCACUCCUCCUGCCCCAGCCUCCCGAGUAGCUGGGACCACAGCUGAACACUACUACGCCUAAUUUUUGAAUAUUUUGUAGGCUGAGCAUGGUGUCUCACGCCUGUAAUUCUAGCAGCACUUUCGGGGGCUGAGGUGGGCGGAUCACCUGAGGUCAGAAGUUUGAG
rnacentral:lncRNA from 10 species